CCUACGGGAGGCAGCAGUGGGGAAUAUUGCACAAUGGGGGAAACCCUGAUGCAGCGACGCCGCGUGAGUGAAGAAGUAUUUCGGUACGUAAAGCUCUAUCAGCAGGGAAGAAAAUGACGGUACCUGACUAAGAAGCCCCGGCUAACUACGUGCCAGCAGCCGCGGUAAUACGUGGGGGGCAAGCGUUAUCCGGAUUUACUGGGUGUAAAGGGAGCGUAGACGGCAGCGCAAGUCUGGAGUGAAAUCCCAUGGCUUAACCAUGGAACUGCUUUGGAAACUGUGCAGCUAGAGUGCAGGAGAGGUAAGCGGAAUUCCUAGUGUAGCGGUGAAAUGCGUAGAUAUUAGGAGGAACACCAGGGGCGAAGGCGGCUUACUGGACUGUAACUGACGUUGAGGCUCGAAAGCGUGGGGAGCAAACAGGAUUAGAUACCCGAGUAGUC
rnacentral:rRNA from 1 species